rnacentral:rRNA from 1 species
UUGGAGGGCAAGUCUGGUGCCAGCAGCCGCGGUAAUUCCAGCUCCAAUAGCGUAUAUUAAAGUUGUUGCAGUUAAAAAGCUCGUAGUUGAAUUUCGGGGUUCUACCGUUGGUCGGGCUUUGUCUGUACUGGUGUGUAGAAUUUCUACCUUCUGGGGAACCAUCAUGCUAUUAAUUUAGCGUGGUGGGAAACCAGGACCUUUACCUUGAAAAAAUUAGUGUGUUCAAAGCAGGCUUAUGUCUGAAUACAUUAGCGUGGAAUAAUAGAAUAGGACGGUGGUCCUGUUUUGUUGGUUUCUGAAUCACCGUAAUGAUUAAUAGGGAUAGUUGGGGGCAUUAGUAUUCAAUUGUCAGAGGUGAAAUUCUUGGAUUUAUUGAAGACUAACUUCUGCGAAAGCAUUUGCCAAGGAUGUUUUCAUUAAUCAAGAACGAAAGUUAGGGGAUCGAAGACGAUCAGAUACCGUCGUAGUCUUAACCAUAAACUAUGCCGACUAGGGGUCGGACGAUGUUAAUUUUUCUUGACUCGUUCGGCGCCUUACGGGAAAC